CUUUCCUUCUCCUAAUCCUCAUCAUCAACUAGAAAAAAGAACUAUUUCAUAUCAGAAACCUUACAUGCAAAUCCCUGCUUUCUGAUCUCAGACUCUUGUCCAUCAUGUUCCUCAUGCCUUCACUCUAUCCAUAACUACUCUUUAACUUCAGAGAGGCAAAGGUUCUUCAAGGGUUCCAUUUUCUUCCAGAUUAUCAGCCACCUCUUGGUUCUCUCAUUUCCCUAACUAGAAUCCAAUCCCUGGAUAUUACCUCAAUCUUGCUCUCACCAAUACCUUUAAUUACUUUAGCCCUAGUAUUUCCAUUGUUUCUUUCCCUCAUUACCCAGCCUUAUUCUUUUCAACCUCUAGGCUGCUUAAGAUUGGUGAAGAUAAAUCAAUCAAACAGGUCUUUUAAUGUCCCUACAAACACAUAGUAGUCAAAGUUCUCAACUACCUUAAAUCUUUAACUUUUCUGCCUGAGAAUAUGUAUAGCUCAGUUGGUAGAAUGCUUGCCUAACAUGAGAAAGGCCAAGUUUGAUAAUCAUCACUACAAAAAAAGUUUUGACUUUUAUUACUCUCUCCUACACCCUUCAGAGGCUCCAUGUAUUUGAUAUCCUAUACAAGUAUCCUACCCAAUUCCCAUAAUUCAAUGGUGUUAUUGGGAAGUGAUGGAAACUUUAAGGGUGAUGCCUAUAUGAAGAAAGUAGAUCAUUUAAGAAAAGAUCCUAUAUGUCACAUAGAAAAGGUAAAGUCACAAAUAGUCUGAUUACCCUCUACAAAAUGUGUCCUAACUGAACUUAUUACCUGCCACAUCCUUCAAGAUAGUAAUUAUCCUGUUUUUCUUCAAUACUGUCCCUUUCUCUUUUUCUUUCUUCCUUCCUUUCUUUCUCUCUUUUCUUUUCCCUUUCUUCCUUCCUUCCCUCCCUCCUCCUUCCCUCUUUCUCUUUUUCUUUCUUUCUUUACUUUCUUUGAACACUUUAUUGAAUGAAGAUACUGCAUCUCACUUCCAUCUUCAUCUUGUCUCCCCAUACUUACUAUUAUGGUAAUACUACAUAUAAACUCAGACAGGAAGAACUAAACUUGGAGAUAAAACCACAAAACUAAUUGUGUGCACAAUAUUUUAACAUGAACAAAGUGAUGAUUUGUAUUUUCCUACACUUCUAUAAGCUACCUGAGGACAAAUACUUGGUUAUUGAUUUUUGUUUUUGAGAGCAUCUAGUACAUUUUUGCAUGUGAUAAAUGUUCAAUAAAUGUUUGAAUCCAUUAUAGUUAGUAUUACUAUCAGUAUUUGUCUUUUUGGUGGGGGUAGGGACUGGGGAUUGAACUCAGAUGCACUUUACCACUGAGCCACAUCCCUAGCCCUGUUUUGUAUUUUAUUUAGAGAGAGGGUCUCACUGAGUUAUUUAGCACCUCUUUUUGACAUUGGCUUUGAACUUGUGAUCCUUCUGCUUCAGCCUCCCAAGCCACUGAGAUUAGAGGCAUGUGCUACCACUCCNUAUUUAUUGAUUGAUGAAUAUAUACAUAUACAUGUAUAUCUAUAUAUCUUUAUUUAUUAUUGUAUUUGUUUUUAUUUAUUUAUGUGUUCUAUUUGACGCUGUAAGGUUUGCAUCUGGAAAAUGUCCAAGAGAUUCAUGCACUGAAAUCUUGAGACCAAAUGCAGGAAUGUUCAGAGGUGGGGCUUUGGGAAUAUGAUUAGAUCAUGAGGACUGUAACCUCAUCACUGUAUUAAUCCACUGAUGGAUUCAUAAUUGGAUGGCAUUAUUGGGAGGUCAUGGAAACUCUAGGAGGUGGGGCCUAGGUGCAGGAAACAGAUCAAUGUAGGCACGUUCUUGACUAAUAUAACAUGCUUCUAGCCCCUUCCUCGCUUUCUCCCUCUGUUUUCCAACUGCUAUGAGGUGAACAGCUCUGUUCUAUGUUCCAUGAUGUGAUGUUCUGCCUCGCCACAAGGCCAACCAAUCAUGGAAUGAAAUCUCUGAAACCAUGAGUCAAAAUAAAUCCUUCCUCACUUUAGUUGUUUUUCUCAUGUAUUGUUACAGUGGCAGAAAACUGACUAACACAACAGCCCCCACAAAUAGAAGGUAAGUUCCAUGAACAAAGGAAGACUUUCUACCUGUUACUGCUGUAUCAUUAGUUCAUUGGUAAAUGUGUGGCAUUUAACAGAUAGUUGUUAAAUGAAUAUAUAAAACUGACAUAGCAGGUGCUUAAUCAAUUUAAAAAUAUAUUUUGGGACCUGUGUAGGUUAAAAGUGAGGAAAACUCAAGUUAAUUUUCUUUCAACUAAGCUCCUUUUUCCCAUUUACAGAGAAGAAAAUUCUGUUCAAGGAGAGUAUAUUGUAGGGCUUGAGAAAUAUCCAUCAGAGUAGUUCUACAGGCAUUAGUAUUUCUCUCUGGCUUUUUAAAAAAUCUAAUGCAGCAUAAAAAAACAAACAUGUCUUGUUGAAUGACACAAAGCAUUAUCCAAAGCACAGGGAGGUGUCUGAGAAGGUAGGUUUAGUAGCAUUGUAAUAUGAUUACAUUGUUUUGAAAUUCAUUACUUUUUCAUCUGAAUGAAUAUGAAACCCAGAAUAUUAAUACAAUGAAGACUGGCAGUUGAUGACCCUACAGAGGCUGCUCCAAGUUGCUGAUAAAACAAGGACAGUGGUACUUCCAAAUCUCAGAGUUGUUUGUAGGUGUCUUAUUUUUAAUCAAGAUUUGUAAGUAAUGGUGCAUGAGCUGUUCUCUGGCCAUUGUUAUUCAACACCAUCACCUACUAUUGUCUGCAAUCUUAAAUGGGCUGUCUCAUCAAUCAAACCUCCCCUUCCCAUAUUCACAGUAUCUGGAGAAACAACAAAGCAUGUAAAAUCAGCACUUUACUCGGUCCUUGAGAAGGUGCUCCUUUAGACAUGAUGAGAGCCCCUUCCUUCUCCACAGCUCCUCAGACAAUUUAUAGCCCAUUCUGCACUUGACUUUUACAAAUACCAUCUUCAGAUAUAACAAGACCCCCUGGGGUUGAAGGGUGAAAAGGGGUUCUGAGGAAUGCCAUUUCCUUUUUUGAUGCCUUGGUGUCCGAGUGCCACGUGAAAGAUUUAAUACCAACUCUAUUCCUCUGAUGCAUAUGACAAUAUAAUAUCCUCUAAUUGCAUCUGUUAUGUCUUUGUACAAAGAGGAAAAAUAUUCUUUGCAGCAGGACUACAAAAUUACACAUAUUACAACUGAAUAUUCAGGUAUGAAAAUAGGUUUUCUUAUUUGCUAGGGAAAAAAAGCAACUGGAAAUUGUUUUUGUUUUUGUUUCAUGUUUCACAUAACAUGGGGCUGAAGGAGAUGGACUUGGUAAUUUUACAGGUGUCUUAAAAUACAUAGCUCAUGGAUAUUUGAUAGGAAUACUUCAGCAUAGUGACACAAAAGUUACUUCAAGUAAACAAUGGAUAAAUCCAUGUUACCUCACUUUCAGUAAUAUUACACAAAAGUUAAAGGCUGAUGAAUAGCUUUUUCCCCCUUUUAACAGCAUCUAUUUUUCUUUUUACCACUUUUAGCCAUCCAAAGUUGACUAGAGUUGUAAUCCAUCCAUGUACUAUUUACUUUAAGUGAAUUUUGUAAGUAUGUGAAACAUCUGGCUUCCUAUCUGUCCAAAUAUGACCAUUUGCAUGUAAGGGUAGGACCUAUGCCAUUUGCAAGCUGUCAGGCACUAUGUGGUCACUAAGUAAAUUUAAACUAAGUGCAAUAAAAAUUGCUAUCAAUUGUUAAAGAGUAAAAUAAUUUAUUAAGUAUCUGCCUAUCUUCCAUUGUGAUAUGACUCAUUUCUCUUAUCCUUACUUCCAAAGAAUAAUCAUUUUUCAAUAACCAAUAAUGUCACAGACCAACUGAUAAUUGGUGAGGGAACAUACAAACAUUUCUUUCUUCCUUUUUUGGUAAGCAGAAUGCUGCCAUGUUCAUAGGACAUGCCUUUCCUCCCUGUGGAAAUAUCCUUGCUCAAUUUUUGUUGUGGAAAGGCAAGUAUCAGCUCUUGUGUCUAUAUGCCCAAUGUGGAAUUUUAUCCCUCUAAAACAGACUAACCCAUCUGGGAAUGGAGCUUACCCUUUUAGUCUCACAAAAUCUUCAGAACCAACAAAUCCAGUUUAGGGCAACACCCCCAACAUGCUCUUUUUCUUUGCCCACUAAGGCACUAAGCAUUCUGCAUUAUCAUGUUUAUCUUGGGCUUAAUAAAGCAUCAGGAUAGACUAAGUGACAAAUGCAAAAUGUAAAAAAUUUCUCAAAUAAUAAUUAAAAUCAUGGUUUUCAGUCUGUAUGUGUAAGAAUACCAAGUAAUAGUCUCAGAAAAAUAGAGGAUAAUGACUUCAUUCAUCUUUAGAUCUUUCCUCAUGAUUUUGUCCAUAAGUAGUGAUUAAGUAUAACAAAUUAAGAACAUACACACUCACAAUAUAAAUUUUACAUUAUUAUUCAGUCCACUGUAGAACUCUGGAAAAUUCACUGGUAUCCCUACAAUUAUCAUCAUCAAACUGUAACACCUAUAAGGAAAUGUUACAUCAUUUUGUAAAAUCCUUUCAUGUCUUCUCUUGACCUCAAAAGGAAAAGUAUGACCUCAUGUGGUGGUGCACACCUAUCAUCCCAGAGAUUUGAGAGGCUGAGCGAACAGGAGCACAAGCUCAAGGCCAGCCUCAGCAACAUAGUGAGACCAUGCUUCAAAAUAAAAAAUAAAAAGAACUGGGGAUGUGGCUUAGUGGUAAAGUAUCCUUGGUUUCCUCUCUCAUUAUCAAUCAAUCAAUAAAUAAAUAUAAAAAGUAAAAGUAUAUGUUUUGUAUUCUGUGUAAAAUCUUUCAAAUACACAUUUCUAUCUAAAUCCACCUCUCUACUGUUGACUGUAUUGCUCCAAGAAAUAAGUAAUAAGAAUGAUGUUGAGACCUCAAGUUUUCAUGUCUUCCACUAUGGUCAGGCCCAGACAAAUCAACACAGUAAACUCAGUGCCCCAGCAUCAGUAUAUCCUUGGUGCUUUCUCUUCUCCCAGAAUCUUACUUCUGACAUUUUUCCCCAUCAUUUGGUUCACUUGUCUUAUAACAAAAUCCUCACAUCAGCUGUCAGUUUGCCACACUGACAAGAAAGUAAGAAGGACACAUUUUUAUAGCCAGGGAAAUUAGAGACUAUCAAGGACCUCAUUUUAAGCUCGUUAUUAAAGUCUAGAGAGCUAAUGCCAGUUAGUAACCAAGUCAAGAUUAGAAAACUGUGUCCCCUAACCCCAAUACCAACAUGGUAUCAGAGACCAUGUAGUCAUGUAUAAGCACAUGUAACAGCAAAUUAAAUGUCCUACUAAUUCUAUUAUGUCAAAAUCAUUUAUUUAUUUAGCUUUGUUUUAGUCUAGAAUGAAUAUAUGUAUAUAUAUAUAUAUAUAUAUAUAUAUAUAUCACGUGUGCAUUUGUCUUCAGAAUAUUCUGCCAAUUUCUUCUAAUAAAUCUGAACUGCCCAUCAGCUGUUCCACUUUUUCAGUCAACAUAUAAUGAAUGCCUAUUGGAAUGUGUACUAGGUACUGAACAUAAAUAACAUAUACUUCACACUCUGAGAGAUAUUUGAAGAAAAGAGAGCAGGAAGUGCUGUAGUUUGUGUUUCAAAGUAAAGAGUACAGAAUUGAAAUAAUCAAUGUCUACUUCAUUGUCUUUUUUUCCUUAACAGAAAAUAUGUGAUCUUAUGUUCAGUUGGAGUUAGGUAAGAUGUACCUGGAGAUUUAAGGAAAGAGGAGAAUUUGUUUUGAAGAAUGAGAAAAAAUGCAUUAGACAUUAUGGGGAAAUCAAAGGAUUUUGAAGAAAAAUUGAUAUUUUAGUUUUGCUUUCAAACCUGGAACAGUACAAGAGGAAAAGAACUUUGUCACUGUAACAUCUAUUAUACUACUCUAAGUCCAAGUAUAUGAUUGUAUAACAAAGGUUUUUUUUAAAUAUUCAUUCCAAUUAGUUAUACAAGAUAGUAGAAUGCAUUUUGACACAUUAUACACAAAUGAAGCACAACUUCUCAUUUUUCUGGCUGAACAUGGUGCAGAGUCACACCGGUAGUGUAAUCAUACAUGUUUGUCUCAUUCCAGUGUCCUUCCCAUCUCCACAUCCUUUCCCUCCUCUCGCUCCCCUCUGCACAAUCCAAAGUUCCUUCAUUCUUCCCUGCCCGCCCUCCAUCCCAUUAUGUAUCAGCAUCCACUUAUCAGAGAAAACAUUCGGUCUUUGGUUUUUUGGGUUUGGCUUA
rnacentral:lncRNA from 1 species